UCACUCUGGGGGGAGGCAGGCAGCCACUGCUGCCGCCGGCCGCCGGCUCGGAUCCGACAUCUGGAGGCUGGAUUCCAGGAGGAGAGAUGGAGUCUUGCAGGCAGAUGUCAGCUUUGAAGGUCAAAGCGAGCGAGGGAGCCAAGGAGGAAGAGCCUGCCAGGGUCCCACGCUCCCCCACCCAGGAUUCUGGGAGAGAGGUGAGGAAGCCGAGGCUCAGAGAGGUGAGCCAAUGUCACGUCACCGCUGGAAGCCAUGGAGCCAGGACCCUCCUGCCUCCUGGUCAACAGACCCUGGUGUUUCUGCCUGUGUUUAGCAGAGCUUUGCCCACUGUUACUGCAUGGUAGAUGUUGCUGACUCUUCAAACAAGGGCCAGGCACACCUGAAGUCCAAGAAGUCCUCUGUGAUCUGUUGAGCUUCUGAGUUACUGGCAUCACAGCCUGCCGCUGUGGUCACUGCACCAGACAGACGUUAACCCCCACUGUGCUGGUGGGAGCAGCACGUGACAUGGGCGCACGGUCCGGAGAGGCUGAGGGAGGAGAACGCCACCGGGAAACCUUCCUUCGCUCCAGCCAGCUUCCCCUCCAGCGAGCUUGCCUCGCCUUCUUUCUCCCUGUCCGCCCAGACUUGAAGCCAAAGCCCUCCCUGACCCUUAGGAGUUGCUCCUUCCCUUGGCUGUCUGGGCCCUGACCAUCAUCCAUAGCACGUGUGUUCUGUAUCGCUGUGAACCUGGCCUUCACGUUUCAGCAGAUGGGGUUCUCGCCCUCCACAUCCCUCAGCUUCCCUCUUGCACCUGGGCUUACCUGGGCAGGGCCGGACCACUGGGACCAGGUGAGUUCUCAGCCUGUUCUGGGGAUGGCGACAGCAAGGUCGUUGAGAGGAGCCUGAAGGGAGCCAGGCACUGGUGCAGACUGGCCAGGUGACCCUGGCAAGUCCCCAGGGAAUAACAGGAUUAGGGGUCCAUAGUGAGGAUGAAAUGGGAGAUGCAGGGAAAGCCGCCAAAGCUGCAGGUGUCAGGCACAUGCGUGGCCCAGCCUUCUCGUGCCCACAUACAUAGGUGCCUCCUGGCACGCUGAGGCCUCCUCCCCAGGGAGAGCUCCUCCCGUUUCCCAUCAGCCUCCCCCCUCGAAGCCCACCCAGGUCUGCUUUCUCAUCAGAGCCGGCCUCUGUCCCUCCCCUGGCCUGGCCGGUCCUAUCCUCAGAUGGGACCGGACGUCCUGCCUACUCUCCCCAUCCCUGUCCACUCCUCCAGAGAGGAGCCUGCGGCCCAGAGGGAGACUGGACAGCCUCUCGAGCUCACUGACCUUUAUAUUGACCAGAGGCCCAGAAGCCCUGUCUUUCCCUCCCCCUGCACUCCUGAUCCCCCUUUACUGCUCUGCUGAGACCCCCGGCUUCUGGUGGGAUUGUUGUAACUGCCCUGACAUCUUAAAAUCAACUGAGGAAGUGGUCAGCCAGCUAUUGCUGUCUAAUAUGGAAAGUCCAGCCAGGAUGGCCAUUCACUGAGUUUUUAUAAGGGGGGAAUGCACCCAAUUGAAGCAGACGACUUGGUUCCUCCUUGUCGACCUGUUGCAAAGCAGCAAGGGAACAUGUCCCAGGGUUGGGGGGUGGGGAGGCCCGGACAGGGCAAGCUGGUGGAGGAAGAGAAGAGAAGGCAGGAGGCUCCCCACCACGGGCUGCAGUGUUAGGCCUGGAAACACGGAGUGGGGACCAGAGAGAGGGGAUGCGGGACACAUCAAGGUGGGCUCCAGCCCCCUUGUCAAGGGCUCGCUUGUGAGCAAAGUGAAUCAGGUCAGCCUGUUAGAAGGAAGCGGGCAUCUGGAGGUCAGGGCCUUGUGGCUGGGGAUCUGGGGCCCUGGGGGUGUGGGAACCUGAGUGGUCAGUGCUUCCACCCUAGUAUGUGCAGUUGGGUUCCCCAGAUGUGCUCAGGGUGAGCCUAGACAAAAACAUGUGUGUGCUGGUCGCCCCCUAGUGGUUGGGGGACCCCAGUCUUGCUGGCCCAGGACUCUCCCUGUGGUUAACGUAGGAAAGGGGACCAGGGCAUUGGUGGGUAUUGCAGUUUGCUCCAAACCCCAACAGAGGCAUCUGACCCCCAUUCUGCCUUCCUGGGAGCAUUUAGGAUCGUCUCCCAGGCAAGGGCUUUAUGUUUCUAUGGGGCCUCAUCCCUGCUGCCAUAGCUGGUAUCCACACCCCUCAACCCCAAGAAGGCCGGGAUUCCCCAUGUGCACGUGAGCAUGCUGGGGCCUGAAAGGUCAGCCAGAGCCCGAAAGGCCAUCUUGUCCAUCCACCCGCUGCUCCUGUCAUGUUUGUGUAGAGGAAAAAGCUUCCAGUUAGGGUUGGGGCCCUCGUUUCUGCUUCAGGCUCCAUCUCCAGUUCUCCGUACUUCCUGAGGGGCGUUCCAUAACUUUCUCUGUACCUCCUCAUGGUCUCCCCUCUGUGGUAGCAGAAAUUCUCCUAUGACCCCCAGUGACCUUUGCUCUCGUGAACUCCCUACAUUGGGUGUGGGUGGAACCUGUGACCCUGGCAUCACUCCUGUGAUUAGGUUAUAAGUUGCCUAAGAGAUAGGUUAUCCAAGUGGGCCUGACCUAAUCAAGCCAUUACAAAAAAGUUUUCUCCAGCUGCUGGUGAAAGAGGAGAUUAGAGAGAUUCAGAGCAAGAGAGGGAAUCGAUGUGUGGGACCCUCUCUGUUCCUCAGAUGGAGGGACCACAGGAUAAGGGCCUGAGGAUGGUCUACAGGAGCAACCACAAGAUGAUGGGACCUCAGUCCUACAGUCACAGGAACUGAAUCCUCUUGACAACCAGUGAGUUUGGAAGACCAUCCAAGGCCCUGAUGAGAUUGCAGCCCCACCAACACCCCAGUUUCACCUGGCAGGACUUUGAGUUGAGAGCCCAGCCAUGCCACGUCUGCCAAUGAUAAAUGGUACUGUUUCAAGCCAAUGCUGCUGAUGCUGCUAAGUCACUUCAGUCGUGUCUGACUCUGUGCGACCCCAUAGACGGCAGCCCACUAGG